AACACUCACAGGCUAUGUGGUAAUGAGAAACCCAAAUACCCAGCACUCCAGGGGCUUUGGGUUUGUCACAUAUGCCACUGUGGAGGAGGUGGAUGUAGCCAUGAACGCAAGGCCGCAAAGGCAGAUGCAAGAGUUGUGGAAACAAAGAGAGCUGUCUCAAGAGAAGAUUCUCAAAGACCAGGUACCCACUUAAAUUUGAAAAAGAUCUUGGUGGGUGGCAUUAAAGAAGACAUUGAAGGACAUCACCCAAGAGAUUAUUUUGAACAGUACAGGGAAAUUGAAGUGAUUGAAAUCAUAGCUGAGGCAGUGGCAAGAAAAGGGGUCUUGCUUGUGUAACCUUUGAUGACCAUGGCUCCAUAAAUAAGGCUGUCAUUCAGAAACACCUUACUGUGAAUGGCCACAACUGUGAAGUAAGAAAAGCCCUGUCAGAGCAAGAGAUGGCUAGUGCCUCACCCAGUUGAAGAGGUCAAAGUGGUCCUAAAAGCUUUGGUGGUGGCCAUGGAGGCGGUUUCGGGGGAAUAACAACUUUGGUCAUGGAGGAAACGUUAGUGACUGUGUGGCUUUGGUGGCAGCUGUGGUGGUAGUGGAUAUGGUGGCAGUGGGGAUGAAUAUAAUGGAUUUGGUAAUAAUGGAAGCAGUUUCGGAAGUAGUGGAAGCUACAACAAUUUUGGCAAUGAUAGGAUUCAAUCUUCAAAUUUUGGAUGAAUGAAGGGUAGAAACUUUGGAGGCAGAAGCUCUAGUUCCUGUGGUCAUGGAGGCCAAUACUUUGCCAACCAGGAAACCAAGGUGGUCAUGGUGGUUCCAGUAGCAGCAGUAGCUAUGGCAGUGGCAGAAG
rnacentral:lncRNA from 10 species